rnacentral:tRNA from 1 species
GGGGUUGUGGCUUAGCGGUAGAGUACUCGCCUAGCAUGUGUGAGGCCCUGGGUUCAAUCCCCAGUACCACA